rnacentral:rRNA from 1 species
UACGGGGGGGGCAAGCGUUGUUCGGAAUUACUGGGCGUAAAGGGCGCGUAGGCGGUUGGAUAAGUCAGCUGUGAAAACCACGGGCUUAACUCGUGGCCUGCAGUUGAGACUGUCUGACUUGAGUGUGGGAGAGGAGAGUGGAAUUCCUGGUGUAGCGGUGAAAUGCGUAGAUAUCAGGAGGAACACCGGUGGCGAAGGCGGCUCUCUGGACCACAACUGACGCUGAGGCGCGAAAGCUAGGGGAGCAAACAGG